GUGGCAAGUACGGGUGCAGGCGGUUUGGAGCAUCUAAACCAGACACCUAUGGUUGGCAGUAUCCUCUCCGGGAGGGCUCUUGUCAGGCACGUGCAGCGUUCUCCAGCAGCACUACGGAAGCCUUAUACCAGCUUCUUGGAUGGAAACACUCCCAGGCCUGUUGUUGCUCCAUCGGCAGUGGCGUCUCUGGAACUGGAAGACCAGAAUGUAUUCUUUCAGGGCUACGAUCCGAGGGAGCCAGCUGUCAUGUCAUGGGACACUUAAGCAAGCCUAUGGAGAGGCCCACAUGAUGAGGAACUAAGGUCACCUGCCAACAAGCAACGAGGUACUGUGGUCUCUUGCUAAGAGCCACAUGAGUGAGUCACAUUGGAAGCAGAUUCUUCAGCCCCAGUAAAGUCUCCAGAUGACGUAUCUUGACUGCAGCUCUGUGAAAGACCCAGAGCCAGAGCUAAGCUGUUCAAAUUACUGACCCACAGAAGCUGAGAUAAUAAAUGUUUGUUGC